AUGGAAAGUGUUCAAUUAGAACAUGAAAACGUGACUCAAUUGGUCUUAGUUAGUCUUCGGGACGGAGUGGAAGAAGGGCGGAUACUCUCGAACGAGGAAAAGGAUCCCUUCGAAAGAAUUGACCGAGGAGCCGUAUGA
rnacentral:rRNA from 1 species